CAAACUGCUAUGUCUGUACAUAUAUGCCUAUAGCGGCGUCCAAUCCACAUGUCACACCUAAGCCUGUAAUGGAGGGUUAUAGAUAUUUUCCCAGGAUGUGUUAUACCUUUUUGCAGCAAAUCUGAAUGAUACGGUUAAAGCGCAUACGGGGACACCUUUGUCUUCGCUUGAAGAUCCGAAGUUAGAUUUUUAUGAUCGGUGGUCCGAUAAUGAUACGAAUGUGCUUUUUGGUCCAGUUUAUAUUAGGCCGGGUAUGAAAUGUGCGUGUUAUGCGGUAUCUUGGAGCCUUAGAGAGCCGCCAGUGCAGAUGGGACAAAUUCCACUGAUGUAUUGUUUAAAUGUGACUAGUUCAUGCACUACAUAUCACGGUAACACUAGUUUGAACAUUUCACAGGCUGCGCAAGGAGGGGGCUGUUCUCCCUAUUUUACAGAUCAAACUGGCACGCGGCCUCAGGAGGAUGUUCUGUGGCUUUGUGGCUUUAACGUUUAUGUUAGAUUGCCAUAGAAUUGGAUGGGCCGUUGUGCUAUGAUAACAGCUGCUGACCACUCUUACAUUGUGUCAGCUGUUCCGAGUCAUAGGGGUAAGCGUGAGUAUGCACCCCAUGAUGCGAUUUGGGGUACAAAUGUGCCUGCAGAUCUUGAACUUUGGACACCAGGAGAAAAGGUGGCAUUGUCAUUGUUUCCACAGCCGGGCGUGGGGAAACUCAUGCUUAGAAUGGAGAUGCUGAAUCAUCGGUUUUCAGGUUUUGUAAAUUGGACAGUAACUAUUACGGAGGCGAGCAGAGUGGAAAUGAAGGCGUUACGGGCAGUGACUUUGCAAAAUCGUAUAGUAUUAGACCAUUUGGUAGCGAGCGUCGGAGGAGUUUGUGCUCUGCUGAAUUCAUGGUGCUGUACGUACAUUCCAGACAAUACUGGAGAUGAUUCCGUCAUUUCGCAGGGUAUUCAGAAUUUGACUUCUCUGCGAGACGCAAUAGGAGAAGAUUUUGUGGUGGAUCCGUCCUGAGUAGCAACUUGGCGUUCGUGGGACAAACCACACCCUCUCCCCUUCACAGGACCUUGGGCAUUCUUUUACUGGGAUACUGUAUGUUAAUGAGCAUGGAGAGUGGGACUUCUGAGAAUAUAAUAUUGUCAUGACAUAUUCUAAAAGAGUUAGAACAAGCUGGAACGAACGGAUGUGUCGUUCGGGUUUGGUCUCGCUUUGCAAAGCUUGUUAUUAUUUGUUUGUUACUCUAAUAAAUCAUUUUAAAGCUA